rnacentral:rRNA from 1 species
UACAGAGGUCUCAAGCGUUGUUCGGAUUCAUUGGGCGUAAAGGGUGCGUAGGUGGCGCGCUAAGUCAGGUGUGAAAUUUCGGAGCUCAACUCCGAAACUGCAUUUGAUACUGGCGUGCUUGAGGACUGGAGAGGAGACUGGAAUUUACGGUGUAGCAGUGAAAUGCGUAGAGAUCGUAAGGAAGACCAGUGGCGAAGGCGGGUCUCUGGACAGUUCCUGACAUUGAGGCACGAAGGCCAGGGGAGCAAACGGG